UACGUAGGUGGCAAGCGUUGUCCGGAUUUACUGGGCGUAAAGAGCGCGCAGGCGGUCGUUCAAGUCGCGUGUGAAAGCCCCCGGCUCAACUGGGGAGGGUCACGCGAUACUGAUCGACUCGAAGGCAGGAGAGGGUAGUGGAAUUCCCGGUGUAGUGGUGAAAUGCGUAGGUAUCGGGAGGAACACCAGUGGCGAAGGCGACUACCUGGCCUGUUCUUGACGCUGAGGCGCGAAAGCUAGGGGAGCAAACGGG
rnacentral:rRNA from 1 species